AAAAAAAAAAGAAAAGAGAUCGCCUGACACUGAAAGCUCCACUCUGAGUGUAAAUCAACCCACCAUUUAAAGCCGCUAAGCUCAAGAUGCUUCAUCACAGCAAAAUGCCCUUGAAAGAAGAGCCUGGAAUACCAAUGCUCAGUGCUGUGAGAGACCAACCUUAUCUCUCAACUGCAGCUCUGCACAGGACACGCAGAAAAUUGCUAAUGCAGAGAAGGCAGGAUUGGUGCAGAACAAAGUGCAGAAGAGGAGAACGCUCCCUUCAGUGCCAG